rnacentral:rRNA from 1 species
AACGAACGCUGGCGGCAUGCCUAACACAUGCAAGUCGAACGAGACCUUCCGGCCUAGUGGCGCACGGGUGCGUAACGCGUGGGAACCUGCCCUUAGGUUCGGAAUAACUCCCCGAAAGGGGUGCUAAUACCGGAUAAUGUCUUCGGACCAAAGAUUUAUUGCCAUUGGAUGGGCGCGCGUUGGAUUAGUGGGUUGGUAGGGGAAAAGCCUGCCAAGGCGAGGAUGCAGAGCUGGUCUGAGACGAUGAUCAGCCACACUGGGACUGAGACCAGGGCCAGGCUGCGACGGGGGGGAGGGGAAGGGAACAUUAGGGAAGGGGGGAAGAUCCGGUACCGCCGCGCCCGGGAUGUGGUGAAGGGGGUAGGGUUGUAAAGCUCUUUUACCCGGGAUGAUAGUGACGGUACCGGGAGAAGAAGCUCCGGCUAACUACGUG